GAGGGGAGGGAGCUGCGCGGGCUCCGUCCCCUCACGGCGCGCGGCGGGAAUGGCGGGAGAGCAACGGGACCCGUCCCGCCUGAGGGGAGGCGGCUCCAGUGCCCGCCAUAGAAAGACUGAGGGGGUUUCCCCCUUUGCUCGCCUUUCUGGCCCCUCAGAGUUGGGCUCUGGGACGAAGGGCUCCGCUUCUCUGCCUAGUAUGCCCACAAGAAGCACAGGGAAGUGUCAGGCAGAGGGGGUUGUUGAAGGUGUUAAAUCAGGCAGGUGCUGUUUCAAUGAACAAGAAUGUCCAGGAAUUAAGGAAAUCUGUUUCAGUCUGAUUGGCAGAGCAAACAGAUGGAAAUGCAGUUGGAAAGAGAUGCACUUCAGGACAGCAGGUCGAAGGCCUUGAGAAGCAGUUGCAUGUAGCUCAUCUUGAGGCAGCAGAAGCUCAGACAGACCAGACACAACAUGGCCAGGAACCUGCAAACCCGAAUGACUGGAUUUAUCAGUUGUUGGAGGGAGAUGACUUGAAUUUCUCAUAGACUGAGCUCCAUAAAAAAGAGAGAACUAACCCUAGAAAAAGAGCAGAACAAGUGUUUUUGGGAUCAGAACACAGAGGGAACAGCAUCACCUUGGAGCAGCUCAGGAGGCAGCUGGACAACAGAAAGAUGGAAAAGGCACUGAAGGAAAUGAGGAUGGAGUGUCACAGACAAAUGGAGUGCCAGCUCUGGUGUUGAAGAUGUGCUAGAGAAAACCAGAAAGAUGCCAGGACAUUCAAAAGGUAGAAACAAACAAAUCUUUUGCUUGACCUGAACUGCAAUGGAGCAACAGAAGUGGAGAAAUCCCAGCUGGAAAAAGAAAUAAAUGAUUGGAAACUCAAAGCAGAAGAGUUUAAGAGUGCAAAGGAUGAGAAAGAAGCCAGAAUACGUGAAAUGGAGGCCAGGCUGAGCGAGUUGGAGCUGGAAAAAUCAGCUGGUUACUGAAUGACACAAAACUGGAAAAGGAUGAGCUCCUGCAGGAGCUCCAGGCUGGCCAAAGGGAGCUAUGUGGCCCUGCAGAGGCAUUUGAAGAGGAAUUAUCAGGGUGAAAUCAAGGAAAUGGAAAAUAGUGCACACAGACUGAAAAUGCAGAGCAGACCAGACUGCUCUGAAGACUAUGGAGGGAUUUGUUGGCAAUGCUCUGGAAGCUGCAGCGAGAGUGCAGAAGCAGAUUAGACAGAUGCACUGCAGAGCAAGAUUAAAUUCUUGGAAGAGGCAAUGGCAAACACAGCUAAGGAGAAGUAUUACCUCAGAGAAGAGUAAUUGUAUUGCUGAGGACCUGGAGAUCCUGAGAUCACAAGACAAACAGCUGAAAGAAAAACUAUCAAAAAUGGUGACAGCCCUUGAUAAGAAAGCAUCAACUCUAAUCUCUCAUAAAAAAAGAAUUCUUCAGCUAUUUUCUGAAUGGAUUUUGUGACCUGAUGUAUCUCCCAGAAACCUUCCAAGCUGGACGUUUUGAAGGAUCUAAAGAGGAUUCUUCAAGAAUUAACAAGUUCAGACAGUCACAUUCCCUCCAUGGAUCUGAGCAGCCAUGGUGGGAGAAAAUCCCCUUUAACAGCCAUGAGGAAUGCAGACUUCUCAGCCCAUGGAAACUAGUGAGCCCACACCAAAGAGGCUACAGAACAAGAUGGAAAGCCUGCAAAACCUGGUGGAAUCCAUUGCAGAUCAGAAAACAAGCCAUAUCUCCAAUGGUCAGAACUCAGGAGGUGCAGACAAAGAAACCCAAGGAAAAGGGGAGACAGCUCUCCAAGCAAAGGCACUGAAUGAAUUAGUGAUUGCUUUCAUGUAGGUACAUGGCAUUUAAAAUAAGUUAUGUUUUUAAAGACUAAUAAUAAAAGCCCUUAGAAUUUUUUAA